CGACAAUGACCAGGAUUGCCAGUUGGAGAUAAAAUACAGAAUGUGGUGAAGUGUAUGAAGGCACCCAUCUCCAUGCUUUGUGAUACCUUGCCGUGCUCCACCUAAUACCCAGGAAAUGGCAAUUAGCUGACCUUUAUAACUAAAAUUAAUAUGGGAUGAGAAUACACAGUACACUGUGGGACUCAUUAUUUGUCUUCCAGAUGCAGGGGGUGAGGAAAAUAUGGGAGUUACUGUUUACCUUACAGUACUCGUAUUCUGAUGGCCACAGUCCAGGCCCUGACUAAUGGUUUUGAAAUGCUGAGGACAGAAGUUAAACAGGCAUCUACAUCCCAGACCCCACUAGGGAACCUCUGAUUAGUGUGUGGAGGGUGAGAAGCAAGGGAAGCGCUGGAACUUGAAGCCCAGCCAAGAGCAUAAAACCCACAGGGCUUGUGGCUAUUGCAGGUAAUAACAAAGGGACAGUGUCCAUAGGAGGGUAAGAGAGACGGUUCAGGGAAGGGCAAGUCAAGCAGGCAGAAGGCUGAGGAGUCAGAUGGUCUGUGCUGCAGGUUUCAGCCAUGGCUUAGGGAAGGCACAGUGGCUGAGCAAUGGAUCUGCAGUGAGAGGUGCCCACAGGGGUGUCUCAGUCCCCGCUGCGCAGGACCGUGCACAGGAACGAUGGCCGGGGCAAAUGGAAGCUCUGGAGAGCCGUGAGUGCCUGUUGAGAAAGCUAAUGGUGAGACCACGGUACCUUCUGUCAGAGUAUGGCUUGAGAAACAAUCUCAUCACCAUCAAAAAUCCCGCAAAACUAAGACUGCCAGUUGGACUGAAGUUCAGCUUCUCUGGGAAUAGCUCCAAGACCACCGACCACCAGGUGUGCAGAGCCCUCUACCAUCUCCAGGACAAGGUGGAGUCCCGUGGUCAUGGCUGGACUCGGACAAGGGUGCUUCAGAUGGAAAUAUUCAGAUGCAGAACCAGCAAUUCUACCUCCCUGGGAGAAGACACUGAGGAACUGCCAUCAACUUGCAUGUGUUUGCAGCGUGUCUUCCAGGAUACCCACAGCUUGAUUCACAUUCUCACUGGAAAGGGGGAACAGCUUCCCAGAGCCUGUGACAGGAUCACCUUUAUGCCGAGAAAGGUGACCUGUGACACAAGGACACUUGACAACACUACUGAAGUGAUGCACCUCAGCUGCUGCAACUGGCCUCUGUCAUCAAAUAGGAUUUUCUGCCUACUGGAUCAUUGCUAA
rnacentral:lncRNA from 1 species